GGCUCUAGUGGCCUGGUGGCUAGAGCGUCCGCCUCGGAUGCAGGAGGUAUCGGGUUCGAACCCCGGCUGAGUCA